rnacentral:rRNA from 1 species
UACGGAGGGUGCAAGCGUUAUCCGGAUUUACUGGGUUUAAAGGGUGCGCAGGCGGUCUAUUAAGUCAGUGGUGAAAGCCCGGGGCUCAACUCCGGAAUUGCCAUUGAAACUGAUAGACUUGAGUAUGGAAGAGGUAGGCGGAAUACAGCAUGUAGCGGUGAAAUGCAUAGAUAUGCUGUAGAACACCAAUUGCGAAGGCAGCUUACUAUACCAUUACUGACGUUCAGGCACGAAAGCGUGGGGAGCGAACAGG